rnacentral:rRNA from 1 species
CUACGUGCCAGCAGCCGCGGUAAUACGUAUGUCGCAAGCGUUAUCCGGAAUUAUUGGGCAUAAAGGGCAUCUAGGCGGCCCUGUAAGUCUAGGGUGAAAACCUGCGGCUCAACCGCAGGCCUGCCCCGGAAACUACAGGGCUAGAGUAUCGGAGAGGUGGACGGAACUGCACGAGUAGAGGUGAAAUUCGUAGAUAUGUGCAGGAAUGCCGAUGAUGAAGAUAGUUCACUGGACGGUAACUGACGCUGAAGUGCGAAAGCUAGGGGAGCAAACAGGAUUAGAUACCCUGGUAGUCCUAGCUGUAAACGAUGAUUACUGGGUGUGGGCAUGAAGAGUGUCCGUGCCGAAGCAAAUGCGAUAAGUAAUCCGCCUGGGGAGUACGGCCGCAAGGCUGAAACUCAAAGGAAUUGACGGGGACCCGCACAAGCGGUGGAGCAUGUGGUUUAAUUCGACGCAACGCGAGGAACCUUACCAGAUCUUGACAUCCUGCGAAUGCCCGUGAGAG